rnacentral:misc_RNA from 1 species
CAACAACUUCCACCUUACAUUCCUAUUCAUUCGACUGGGUAAGGCUUCAAUUGCCUGAACGAAGAGUGGGUUUUCUGUGUUGCAUACCUAGCAUACGGUAUUGAUCUUGAUCUGGCUUAUCAAASCUCUUUUCAUCUUUCGUCAUGCUUUAUGACAUUUGAUGAACCCUAAACCUGUCUCUUUGAACCACAUCGUUAAUGCUUGUGUUGAUGUAGUGGAGCAUUGAGCCUUGCUUGGUUUCUUUGAUGUAGUACCUGAUGUGGGCAUGGGUCUCAUGGGAUCCUUGUUAUGUCCUUGUUUAGUGUUUACGCUCCCCAAAAUGACUGCUUGACACGCAUUGGCUCGUAACAGCGUGUUGGGCUUUGUCUAAGAGGAAAGUUACCUGGU